GAUGAAGAACGUAGUGAAAUGCGAUAAGUAAUGUGAAUUGCAGAAUUCAGUGAAUCAUCGAAUCUUUGAACGCACCUUGCACCCUUUGGCUAUUCCGAAGGGUAUGCCUGUUUGAGUAUCAUGAACACCUCAACUCUCAUGGUUUGCCAUGAUGAGCUUGGACUUUGGGGGUCUUGCUGGCCUGUGGUCAGCUCCUCUCAAAUGGAUUAGCUUGCCAGUGUUUGGUGGCAUCACAGGUGUGAUAACUAUCUACGCUUGUGGUUUUCCACCAGGUAACCUUCAGCAAGGGGGGUUCGCUGGGGCUCAUAAAUGUCUCUCCUCAGUGAGGACAGCUCUUUGAACGGUUGAUCUCAAAUCAGGUAGGACUACCCGCUGAACUUAAGCAUAUCAAUAAGCGGAGGA
rnacentral:misc_RNA from 1 species